CAGUAGCCACGGUAAAACGUAGGGUGCAAGCGUUAAUCGGAAUUACUGGGCGUAAAGCGUGCGCAGGCGGUUUUGUAAGACAGGCGUGAAAUCCCCGGGCUCAACCUGGGAAUGGCGCUUGUGACUGCAAAGCUAGAGUGCGGCAGAGGGGGAUGGAAUUCCGCGUGUAGCAGUGAAAUGCGUAGAUAUGCGGAGGAACACCGAUGGCGAAGGCAAUCCCCUGGGCCUGCACUGACGCUCAUGCACGAAAGCGUGGGGAGCAAACAGGAUUAGAUACCCCGGUAGUCCCUGUCUCUUAUAA
rnacentral:rRNA from 1 species